UACGAAGGGGGCUAGCGUUGCUCGGAAUUACUGGGCGUAAAGCGCACGUAGGCGGGUCAUUAAGUCGGGGGUGAAAUCCUGGAGCUCAACUCCAGAACUGCCUUCGAAACUGAUGAUCUUGAGUUCGGGAGAGGUGAGUGGAACUGCGAGUGUAGAGGUGAAAUUCGUAGAUAUUCGCAAGAACACCAGUGGCGAAGGCGGCUCACUGGCCCGAUACUGACGCUGAGGUGCGAAAGCGUGGGGAGCAAACAGG
rnacentral:rRNA from 1 species